AACGAACGCUGGCGGCAGGCCUAACACAUGCAAGUCGAGCGCCCCAGCAAUGGGGAGCGGCAGACGGGUGAGUAACGCGUGGGUAUCUACCUAGUGGUGCGGAAUAGCCCAGGGAAACUUGGAGUAAUACCGCAUAAGCCCGAAAGGGGAAAGAUUUAUCGCCAUUAGAUGAGCCCGCGUUGGAUUAGCUAGUUGGUGGGGUAACGGCCCACCAAGGCGACGAUCCAUAGCUGGUCUGAGAGGAUGAUCAGCCACACUGGGACUGAGACACGGCCCAGACUCCUACGGGAGGCAGCAGUGGGGAAUAUUGGACAAUGGGCGCAAGCCUGAUCCAGCCAUGCCGCGUGAGUGACGAAGGUCUUCGGAUUGUAAAGCUCUUUUGGCGGGGACGAUAAUGACGGUACCCGCAGAAUAAGCCCCGGCUAACUUCGUGCCAGCAGCCGCGUU
rnacentral:rRNA from 1 species